rnacentral:rRNA from 1 species
CAGUAGCCGCGGUAAUACGUAGGUCCCGAGCGUUGUCCGGAUUUAUUGGGCGUAAAGCGAGCGCAGGCGGUUAGAUAAGUCUGAAGUUAAAGGCUGUGGCUUAACCAUAGUACGCCUUGGAAACUGUUUAACUUGAGUGCAAGAGGGGAGAGUGGAAUUCCAUGUGUAGCGGUGAAAUGCGUAGAUAUAUGGAGGAACACCGGUGGCGAAAGCGGCUCUCUGGCUUGUAACUGACGCUGAGGCUCGAAAGCGUGGGGAGCAAACAGGAUUAGAUACCCGAGUAGUCCCUGUCUCUUAUACA